rnacentral:rRNA from 1 species
UCUGAUUAGCUAGUUGGUGGGGUAAAAGCCUACCAAGGCGACGAUCAGUAGCUGGUCUGAGAGGACGAUCAGCCACACUGGGACUGAGACACGGCCCAGACUCCUACGGGAGGCGGCAGUGGGGAAUUUUCCGCAAUGGGCGAAAGCCUGACGGAGCAAUACCGCGUGAGGGAGGAAGGCUCUUGGGUUGUAAACCUCUUUUCUCAGGGAAGAAAAAAAUGACGGUACCUGAGGAAUAAGCAUCGGCUAACUCCGUGCCAGCAGCCGCGGUAAUACGGAGGAUGCAAGCGUUAUCCGGAAUGAUUGGGCGUAAAGCGUCCGCAGGUGGCAUUGCAAGUCUGCUGUCAAAGGUCAGGGCUUAACCCUGAAAAGGCAGUGGAAACUGAAAUGCUCGAGUGCGGUAGGGGUAGAGGGAAUUCCCGGUGUAGCGGUGAAAUGCGUAGAGAUCGGGAAGAACACCAGUGGCGAAGGCGCUCUACUAGACCGCAACUGACACUCAUGGACGAAAGCUAGGGGAGCGAAUGGGAUUAGAUACCCCAGUAGUCCUAGCUGU